rnacentral:tRNA from 2 species
GUAGGGGAACCUGCGGCUGGAUCACCUCCUUUCUAAGGAUGGUUCUUCAGAAGCUUGCUUCUAUCGAGCCGUUUUAGAAACAUCAGUGGCCAACGAUCGUCAGGAUCGUUGAGCUGCAUUGGCGGGAUUUCGCCGUCUUCGUUUCUCUUUCUUCGCGGACGAACACGCGCUGGGCCUGCGAGAGCAGGGUCCCUGGUCCUUGACGGGAUAUGCGUUAGGGGCUUGUAGCUCAGUUGGUUAGAGCGCGCGCUUGAUAAGCGUGAGGUCGGAAGUUCAAGUCUUCCCAGGCCCACCACACUCAUCGGGUAAGCAUUCGUCUUCUGGUUACGGGGCCAUAGCUCAGCUGGGAGAGCGCGUGCUUUGCAAGCAUGAGGUCGUCGGUUCGAUCCCGUCUGGCUCCACCAGAUGGUUUGAUCACCGAGGCUGUGUUUGCAGGUAUUCAACCGUCGUCCGCGAAACAUCACUUCGCACCUGCUAGUCUGGAUAGACAGUAAGGUGCGUGAUUUCUGACAUCGUAAAGAGGAGAUCGAUCCGAGUUGGAUCGGGCAGCAAGCAAUUGCUGCGCGAGCCUUCAUUAUCUCCGGAUCAUUUCGGCGCUCGCGCGCCUUUCAAUGCGGCUCACAAGGCUGCGUCUGAAGGGAAUGCGAGUUGUAAAUGAUCCUUUUAGCGAAGCUUGACCGCCUCGCUAUCGGAACGAUCUUACGAAGCAAGCUGGUCUUUCUAAUCAUUGUCCGGCUGUACGUAACGUUCAUCGAGGGCGCGUGCCGUAAGGCAAUCGUACAGACAACAUUCUGCCGAGUGUGUGGACAUUGAUAAUGAGAGC